rnacentral:rRNA from 1 species
AUUGAACGCUGGCGGCAGGCCUAACACAUGCAAGUCGAACGAGUGGCGGACGGGUGAGUAAUGGCUGGGAAACUGCCUGAUGGAGGGUGAUAACUACUGGAAACGGUAGCUAAUACCGCAUACCAUCGGAUGUGCCCUGAUGGGAUUAGCUAGUAGGUGGGGUAACGGCUCACCUAGGCGACGAUCCCUAGCUGGUCUGAGAGGAUGACCAGCCAAACGGGAACUGGGACACGGUCCAGACUCCUACGGGAGGCAGCAGGGGGGAAUAUUGCACAAGGGGGGCAAGCCAGAGGUAGCCAUGCCGCGUGGAUGAAGAAGGCCUUGGGGUUGUAAAGUACUUUCAGCGGGGAGGCGUUACCCGCAGAAGAAGCACCGGCUAACGCCGUGCCAGCAGCCGCGGUAAUAC